rnacentral:rRNA from 1 species
AUAAAUAAAUGAAUAAAUUUUAAAAAAAAAUGUGAUAAACAAAAAAAAAUCAUAAGAGAGGAC